rnacentral:rRNA from 1 species
GAUCCUGGCUCAGAACGAACGCUGGCGGCAUGCCUAACACAUGCAAGUCGAACGAGACCUUCGGGUCUAGUGGCGCACGGGUGCGUAACGCGUGGGAACCUGCCUUUAGGUUCGGAAUAACUCAGAGAAAUUUGAGCUAAUACCGGAUAAUGUCUUCGGACCAAAGAUUUAUCGCCUUUAGAUGGGCCCGCGUAAGAUUAGCUAGUUGGUGGGGUAAAGGCCUACCAAGGCGACGAUCUUUAGCUGGUCUGAGAGGAUGAUCAGCCACACUGGGACUGAGACACGGCCCAGACUCCUACGGGAGGCAGCAGUGGGGAAUAUUGGACAAUGGGCGAAAGCCUGAUCCAGCAAUGCCGCGUGAGUGAUGAAGGCCUUAGGGUUGUAAAGCUCUUUUACCCGAGAUGAUAAUGACAGUAUCGGGAGAAUAAGCUCCGGCUAACUCCGUG